UACGUAGGGUGCAAGCGUUGUCCGGAAUCAUUGGGCGUAAAGAGCGUGUAGGCGGCUUGGUAAGUCCGCUGUGAAAGUCCAGGGCUUAACCCUGGAAAGCCAGUGGAAACUGUCAAGCUAGAGUCCGGAAGAGGUGAGUGGAACUCCUGGUGUAGCGGUGAAAUGCGCAGAUAUCAGGAAGAACACCGGUGGCGAAGGCGGCUCUCUGGACCGUAACUGACGCUGAGGCGCGAAAGCGUGGGGAGCAAACAGG
rnacentral:rRNA from 1 species